rnacentral:rRNA from 1 species
UUAAGCGACUAAGCGUACACGGUGGAUGCCCUGGCAGUCAGAGGCGAUGAAGGACGUGCUAAUCUGCGAUAAGCGUCGGUAAGGUGAUAUGAACCGUUAUAACCGGCGAUUUCCGAAUGGGGAAACCCAGUGUGUUUCGACACACUAUCAUUAACUGAAUCCAUAGGUUAAUGAGGCGAACCGGGGGAACUGAAACAUCUAAGUACCCCGAGGAAAAGAAAUCAACCGAGAUUCCCCCAGUAGCGGCGAGCGAACGGGGAGCAGCCCAGAGCCUGAAUCAGUGUGUGUGUUAGUGGAAGCGUCUGGAAAGGCGCGCGAUACAGGGUGACAGCCCCGUACACAAAAAUGCACAUGCUGUGAGCUCGAUGAGUAGGGCGGGACACGUGGUAUCCUGUCUGAAUAUGGGGGGACCAUCCUCCAAGGCUAAAUACUCCUGACUGACCGAUAGUGAACCAGUACCGUGAGGGAAAGGCGAAAAGAACCCCGGCAAGGGGAGUGAAAAAGAACCUGAAACCGUGUACGUACAAGCAGUGGGAGCCUCUUUAUGGGGUGACUGCGUACCUUUUGUAUAAUGGGUCAGCGACUUAUAUUCUGUAGCAAGGUUAACCGAAUAGGGGAGCCGAAGGGAAACCGAGUCUUAACUGGGCGUUAAGUUGCAGGGUAUAGACCCGAAACCCGGUGAUCUAGCCAUGGGCAGGUUGAAGGUUGGGUAACACUAACUGGAGGACCGAACCGACUAAUGUUGAAAAAUUAGCGGAUGACUUGUGGCUGGGGGUGAAAGGCCAAUCAAACCGGGAGAUAGCUGGUUCUCCCCGAAAGCUAUUUAGGUAGCGCCUCGUGAAUUCAUCUCCGGGGGUAGAGCACUGUUUCGGCAAGGGGGUCAUCCCGACUUACCAACCCGAUGCAAACUGCGAAUACCGGAGAAUGUUAUCACGGGAGACACACGGCGGGUGCUAACGUCCGUCGUGAAGAGGGAAACAACCCAGACCGCCAGCUAAGGUCCCAAAGUCAUGGUUAAGUGGGAAACGAUGUGGGAAGGCCCAGACAGCCAGGAUGUUGGCUUAGAAGCAGCCAUCAUUUAAAGAAAGCGUAAUAGCGCACUGGUCGAGUCGGCCUGCGCGGAAGAUGUAACGGGGCUAAACCAUGCACCGAAGCUGCGGCAGCGACGCUUAUGCGUUGUUGGGUAGGGGAGCGUUCUGUAAGCCUGUGAAGGUGUGCUGUGAGGCAUGCUGGAGGUAUCAGAAGUGCGAAUGCUGACAUAAGUAACGAUAAAGCGGGUGAAAAGCCCGCUCGCCGGAAGACCAAGGGUUCCUGUCCAACGUUAAUCGGGGCAGGGUGAGUCGACCCCUAAGGCGAGGCCGAAAGGCGUAGUCGAUGGGAAACAGGUUAAUAUUCCUGUACUUGGUGUUACUGCGAAGGGGGGACGGAGAAGGCUAUGUUGGCCGGGCGACGGUUGUCCCGGUUUAAGCGUGUAGGCUGAUUUUCCAGGCAAAUCCGGAAAAUCAAGGCUGAGGCGUGAUGACGAGGCACUACGGUGCUGAAGCAACAAAUGCCCUGCUUCCAGGAAAAGCCUCUAAGCAUCAGGUAACAUCAAAUCGUACCCCAAACCGACACAGGUGGUCAGGUAGAGAAUACCAAGGCGCUUGAGAGAACUCGGGUGAAGGAACUAGGCAAAAUGGUGCCGUAACUUCGGGAGAAGGCACGCUGAUAUGUAGGUGAAGUCCCUCGCGGAUGGAGCUGAAAUCAGUCGAAGAUACCAGCUGGCUGCAACUGUUUAUUAAAAACACAGCACUGUGCAAACACGAAAGUGGACGUAUACGGUGUGACGCCUGCCCGGUGCCGGAAGGUUAAUUGAUGGGGUCAGCGCAAGCGAAGCUCUUGAUCGAAGCCCCGGUAAACGGCGGCCGUAACUAUAACGGUCCUAAGGUAGCGAAAUUCCUUGUCGGGUAAGUUCCGACCUGCACGAAUGGCGUAAUGAUGGCCAGGCUGUCUCCACCCGAGACUCAGUGAAAUUGAACUCGCUGUGAAGAUGCAGUGUACCCGCGGCAAGACGGAAAGACCCCGUGAACCUUUACUAUAGCUUGACACUGAACAUUGAGCCUUGAUGUGUAGGAUAGGUGGGAGGCUUAGAAGUGUGGACGCCAGUCUGCAUGGAGCCGGCCUUGAAAUACCACCCUUUAAUGUUUGAUGUUCUAACGUGGACCCGUAAUCCGGGUUGCGGACAGUGUCUGGUGGGUAGUUUGACUGGGGCGGUCUCCUCCUAAAGAGUAACGGAGGAGCACGAAGGUUGGCUAAUCCUGGUCGGACAUCAGGAGGUUAGUGCAAUGGCAUAAGCCAGCUUGACUGCGAGCGUGACGGCGCGAGCAGGUGCGAAAGCAGGUCAUAGUGAUCCGGUGGUUCUGAAUGGAAGGGCCAUCGCUCAACGGAUAAAAGGUACUCCGGGGAUAACAGGCUGAUACCGCCCAAGAGUUCAUAUCGACGGCGGUGUUUGGCACCUCGAUGUCGGCUCAUCACAUCCUGGGGCUGAAGUAGGUCCCAAGGGUAUGGCUGUUCGCCAUUUAAAGUGGUACGCGAGCUGGGUUUAGAACGUCGUGAGACAGUUCGGUCCCUAUCUGCCGUGGGCGCUGGAGAACUGAGGGGGGCUGCUCCUAGUACGAGAGGACCGGAGUGGACGCAUCACUGGUGUUCGGGUUGUCAUGCCAAUGGCACUGCCCGGUAGCUAAAUGCGGAAGAGAUAAGUGCUGAAAGCAUCUAAGCACGAAACUUGCCCCGAGAUGAGUUCUCCCUGACUCCUUGAGAGUCCUGAAGGAACGUUGAAGACGACGACGUUGAUAGGCCGGGUGUGUAAGCGCAGCGAUGCGUUGAGCUAACCGGUACUAAUGAACCGUGAGGCUUAACCUU